AAGACAAGUGGAAAUAAGUUGCUGGGAAAGCUGUGUGGCCGGGCCGUCCCGUGAGAGCCACUCACUGUUGUUUGAUCUCAACAGUUGUGUUAACACACGAUGUAGCUUAAAGAUGUCAGCUGGUGAACUGUUUCUUGCUAAGUAAAGUCAUCCAAUCAAUCGUCCAAGCAACCAAUCAGUCACAGAAGGAAAACAAUAAUCAGAAGAAAGAGGGAAGCGGAUGCUGCGCCGCGAGCCGUCGCGAGGAUUUCCUUGGAUGUGCGCGCGUUGCCGCGGCGCCUCGGCCUUCCGUCCCUGAACCGUGUGACGCGGUGAUCGGCGACUUUUCGGUAUUUGUGAUUAAUUUCAUAAUCCAGUCUGGUAGUUUUCUGAAGCGAGAUCCUGCAUCUUCCCUCCUCGCCUCGGCGGGGUGCGAAGCGCCAGCGAGCCCAAGGUCUCCCUGGCGAGCAUGGCAGGAAUGGAGGGCUCCCGGCAGGGCGCCUCGGCGUCCCCGGGGCCCCCACGGAGGUGCCGGAGGUCUGCCGGCUACAAGUCCGGGCAGGUGCGGCUGGUUAGCCGUGGUAGGCAAUUCACCUAGGAGAGCAAACUCCGAACAACAAACCGGGCAGGUGGGGCUCGUUAGCCGUGGUAGGCAAUUCACCUAGGAGAGCAAACUCCGAACAACAAACCCGGGCAGGUGGAGCUCGUUAGCCGUGGUAGGCAAUUCACCUAGGAGAGCAAACUCCGAACAACAAACCCGGGCAGGUGGAGCUCGUUAGCCGUGGUAGGCAAUUCACCUAGGAGAGCAAACUCCGAACAACAAACCCGGGCAGGUGGAGCUCGUUAGCCGUGGUAGGCAGUUCACCUAGGAGAGCAAACUCCGAACAACAAACCCGGGCAGGUGGAGCUCGUUAGCCGUGGUAGGCAGUUCACCUAGGAGAGCAAACUCCGAACAACAAACCCGGGCAGGUGGAGCUCGUCAGAUGUCGUAGACAUCCACGUGAUGGGAACACCAAAAUGAAAAUGAAAAUGAAAAAGAACACCAGAAUGAAGAAAAUGUAGAAACGAAACAUCAAGAAAACUAAAUAUGAAACAGAUCAUCCACCUUUCGGCCCUAACUAACAUCACCAAAAUUAUGGGUGGGUCUUUUCUGGGGAGAAAAAGGCUCAUCCAGACCACAGAACAUCAAACAGGGAUGACACAGAAAAGAUAAAAGACCAACAUCAAGAAAAGAAGAAAAAAACAUCAUCCACCUUUCGGAC